GCAGUCGAACGGAGAUUAUACGCAGAGGCGAUUUCGGUCAAAUCAUGUGUAAUCUUAGUGGCGGACGGGUGAGUAACGCGUGGGUAACCUGCCUUACACAGGGGGAUAACACUUAGAAAUAGGUGCUAAUACCGCAUAAGCGCACGAAGCCGCAUGGAUUUGUGUGAAAAACUCCGGUGGUGUAAGAUGGACCCGCGUCUGAUUAGCUUGUUGGCGGGGUAACGGCCCACCAAGGCGACGAUCAGUAGCCGGCCUGAGAGGGUGGACGGCCACAUUGGGACUGAGACACGGCCCAAACUCCUACGGGAGGCAGCAGUAGGGAAUCUUCCACAAUGGGCGAAAGCCUGAUGGAGCAACGCCGCGUGGGUGAAGAAGGUCUUCGGAUCGUAAAACCCUGUUGUUAGAGAAGAAAGUGCGUGAGAGUAACUGUUCACGUUUCGACGGUAUCUAACCAGAAAGCCACGGCUAACUACGUGCCAGCAGCCGCGGUAAUACGUAGGUGGCAAGCGUUAUCCGGAUUUAUUGGGCGUAAAGGGAACGCAGGCGGUCUUUUAAGUCUGAUGUGAAAGCCUUCGGCUUAACCGGAGUAGUGCAUUGGAAACUGGCAGACUUGAGUUGGCGAGAAGUACGCGGAAUGCGCGGUGUAGCGGUGAAAUGCAUAGAUAUCGCGCAGAACUCCGAUUGCGAAGGCAGCGUACCGGCGCCAGACUGACGCUGAGGCACGAAAGCGUGGGGAUCGAACAGGAUUAGAUACCCUGGUAGUCC
rnacentral:rRNA from 1 species